rnacentral:rRNA from 1 species
UACGGAGGAGGCAAGCGUUAUCCGGAAUUAUUGGGCGUAAAGAGCGUGUAGGCGGUCCGGUAAGUCAGCUGUGAAAGUCAAGGGCUCAACCCUUGAAUGCCGGUUGAUACUGUCGGGCUAGAGUCCGGAAGAGGCGAGUGGAAUUCCCGGUGUAGCGGUGAAAUGCGCAGAUAUCGGGAGGAACACCGGUGGCGAAGGCGGUUCUCUGGGCCUGUACUGACGCUGAGGAGCGAAAGCGUGGGGAGCGAACAGG